UCCAUCUGGCGGCCAGUGACCUGAUGAAGGUUGAAGAGGUUUCCUCUGAAGCAAUGCAGAGAACCGCGAACUCAGCCCUGUGGGGGUUGGCUUUCUGAGCUGUCCUGGCUUUUAUGCCUAUCUAGCUAUCAUCUGUGUUAUUUUUGGUACAAGAGGUGACUUUGUCAUUCCUCUGGCAGCUCCAGUGGCAAAUGAUGUUCAGAGAAAUGUUCACCCACUUGUGCAUCUUUUUGCCUUGUGAAGCCACUGAGCAUCUGUUUGCAGUAUGCUUAGCAUGGUGAUCCAGGGUUGCAGCUGGCAAGCUGAUCUCCGUGUAGAUGAGAUGAUGUGGUAAAGCAAGCAACUUCUGUGUCAGAAUAAGGCUGUCCUCACAUGAACUUUCCUCCUCCACAGCUGUCCUGAAAGGAGACUGGAGCUGCAAGUUGAUGGCCAUGGGGCUGUCCUGUCUGCCAGCAGGUCCCAGUAUUAUGCUGUAAGUAGAACCAGAAGCUCUGGUAAGCUGCUUUAUUUACAGCUCUACUUCUGAUUUCCAGGUAAGAAAUGAUGUGUGACUUCUUCACUGUGCCAGAAAUAAUCAUUGUGGUCCUACCUAUUUUUGUUUUCCCAAUCAUGUCAUUGGGCAGAGCAUUUUCUGUGCAUCCUGUGCUGUCAAGAGCACCCUUUCCAGCUUGCAGGGGAAGUGAAAGUGGUGGUCAGGCCCUAAGAAGCUGAGCUGAGGCUCCUGUCUACUGCACACAUGACAAGAGCUUUCUGUGCUUGUGGAGUCCUGCAGCAUACAGGCAUAUUGCAUCCUGAGAAGUGAGACUUGGAGGUCCCCUGUUACACAGGGUUGGUGUGAGCUCAGUAAACAUGUCAUGUUGACUGCGUACUUACCCAAGCACAUUUUUCUAUAUAUUUGCUCAGAAGAGUCCAAAACAAAAGCCUUUGAGGAAGGCUUGUUAUUUUUACUGUUCCCUUGUAGGUGGAAGGUCCGUUUGCACAAAACAAGUUGUAUUUAGAAAGGAUUGGUUUUCUUUAUCAGUGAUGUAAGUGAAGUCUAUUGCAAAAGCACAGUGCACCUCAGUUGUUAUUGAGGGUCAAGGCAGGCUUGUAGCUCACCUAGUUGUGAUGCUUUGCCCCAGGAAAGCAGUUCUGUUGUGUGCUUUCAGUGUGAGCAUGGGAGGGGAAGAAGUAUGAGCUGAGCUCUCCAUGCUGACAGCGCACUGUGCUGGGAAAGUUUCUUAAGACUCUACAUUAGAAUUAAUUAUGGCAAAUCCCUCAGUUGGAAUGCCUGCAGAUUCCUGUCUUCACACAGUACCAUGCCAGCAUGGCAUCCUGACAGGGGUGGGUGCAGUUGAUACGAAUGUUCUUGACUUGGGCAGUUUGGCGAAUGUUGACUUAAGACUGUAAGGAUUGCCUGGAUAGAUUGAAGCAGGAUCUCCAGAAAAAUGCGGCUUCUGUUUUGUAGAUGAUAUUAAUUAUUUUGGUCUCAGAAAUCACUCUGGCCUGCUGUUUCAGACAGCCAUUACAUGCUGUAUAUAAAAGGUCAAAGAAUCACAGAAUCGUUAAGGUUGGAAAAGACUUCUAAGAUCAUGCAGUCCAACCUCCAGCCCACCCCCACCAUGCCCACUAACCAUGUCCCUCAGUGCCACAUCUCUGUGUUUCUUGAACACCUCCAGGUUCAAUGACUGUACCACCUCCCUGGGCAGCCUGUGCCCAUGUCUCACCACUCUUUCUAAUAAGAAAUUUUUCCCAAUAUCCAACCUGAACCUCAACUGCCUGACUCUUUUCACUGGUGGCUUACCCACUUUUCCACAUAUUGACAACAAUGAAAAAUUUGUUGGUGGCCGUGUGUUGAUUGCUUCCCCCUCCAGGCCUUCCCUUUGCCACCCUCUAUGCUCCCAGCUCUGUAGCUCACAGUAUGGGAAGCUGAGUAAUAAGAAGCUAUGUAGCAACAGCUUACCUAAGAUCUUGCUGUAGUAGAUGUCCCAUUCUCCCCAGUAGCUCUGGAAAAUGUAGUCUUGCAAGUGAUAAGACAGGAUAUUCUUAAUUCUCUCGCCAAAGGACAUGUGGUCAGUGAGUUCAGACAGGGCCGCAGGUGUGUAGGAUGGUGGGGCUGGGAUUUUGCCACAGUGCCUCUCAACAGUUGAGGCUGGAGAGAAGCGCAGGGAGUACAUGAAGGGCAGUGCCAGCUUGAGAGCUACGAGGUCCCCGCAGAGAGUAACUGGGUCUGACAGUAGCAGGUCAUAGUCAGAGCCCUGUAGAUGAGCCAUCAGCUCCUGGUUAGUCAGCACUGCAUCGCACAUCUGCCGGUUGACCUGGUGCCAGCUUUUAGACAGUUUCCCCAGCUCUCUGUAAAACUGCCAGAAGGUCGAGGCUGUUGGCCUGUUGUUCAGCCACAGUGCCACAAUCUCCUCAAUCAGGUUUGCAAUGGUGUCUUUCUUGAAGGGCACGUUAAAAACCUCAAAUUUCUCAGUGGUUUCAGCCUUUGGCUGAAUGAAGAGGGAAGCAUUGGACACCAGGAUGGUGACACUGUGCCCACGGCGGAUGAGCUCCCGAAUAACCGUCUUCACGUUUAGCCAGUGGCUGCCCUCCGUUGGCCAGACCAGCACAUUCCCACAGAAGACAGGUGCUACCAGAGCCACAUAGAAAGCAAGAAGCUGGAGGCAUUUCUUGGAGCUGGUGGCUUUUGUGGCCAUGGCAGAAUUGAGGACUAGAUAGCCUGGCAGCUUUCUCUUCCAGCUGGGAGCACUCCACCUCUGUGUUGUCUGUGAGAGUCUGCUGCUGCUUGAGCAGGGCCUUUCAAACCUAUGUGGUCUCUAAAACAAAGACAGGAAAGGAUGCUUGGUGAUUUGCUUUUCCCUUUCUGUUUUCUACCAUUAACCUCCCCCUGACGGUACUCCUUUCCCUAGAUAGGGGUGGCAGCAGUCCCAGCGCUGUCAGAAGUCCCUGCUUCCCUCAGACCUGUUCAUUUGCACAAUAAUUUAAUUCUUUGUUUAUUGUACUUUUUUAGUUUCUCCCUAAAGGGAUAAAAUCCUUACUGAGGACAUGAAAGCAAAUAAUAGGGAUUUUCUUCCACUAUAUAGGUGCUAUAUUAGUCAUUAACUGCUGGUAGAUAUGUAACUAUGACAAAAUAAGUGGUAUCUCUGUAAACACUGAAGGAAUAUUGAAAUUUGCUGAAGAAUGCACAGCCAUAUCUGACUUGAAGCCUGUUUUCAAUUGCAAAAGCCAUGAUGCCUGCAUACUUUAAUGUUUCUACCUUUUAUGGUACAAAUUACGUAUGCAAAAUAUAUUUUUUUACUCUUUGUUCCCAGAAUAUGCACAGGGUUCUGCUGAGCCAACACCAGCUGUGCUGCAGGAACUGUGUGCAUGAAGGUGUGUCCAGACUUGGGGCAAGAGCCCAGGGCUACACAAGCCAGAUGGACACCUGUGAUGGGACUAACAGGAAAAAAGUGAUGUUCCAGGCAUCAGUACAAAAACAUCUUCCACAUCUUCCCAAAUGUGACAGCAAGUAAGCCUCGAUGACCACCGGCACCUCAAAAAUUCAGCACCAGAGCUGAGAAGGGAGGCAUUUGCCCUGAGAAGCACCGAAUCACAUCAUGUUUCCUAUGUGUUAUUUCCAGAAAGCAGUCUUGGAGCUAAACAGAAGCUUGGAAGUCUUGAAUUGGUAAAAGACAAGUAUUUCAAAGGGAGGGCAAUGUGUGGGUGGAGAAGACUGAGGUUGUUUGGAGGUUGUUUCAUCCCCAAGUGUGGGAUGAGAUGGGAACUUAGAUUGAGGAACACAUGCUGUCCACAGUAGAAAACUGAUGCCCUUGCAAUCCCCACGUGUAAGAGGGAAACUCCAGCAACAGGUGAUGAGCUGAGACCUGUGCCAUAAUGCCAUUUCUCAGCCAGCUUGUGACUUUAUCUCAGCAUUGCAAGAGAACAAAAUGUACCUCUGCUUACAAUAUUUCCUUGUUCAGUUUCAGAUUUUUAAUUCUCUCCACUGCUGCUCGGAUACUGCAUGGACACCUUUGCAUGCUUUGUAGUCUAAGAAAGCAAUCUGGAGGCAGAGCAGAGCCCACCUCGAAUUACAAAAGGGAUAAUUUUUUUUUCUGCUGAUGUGGGUGCAGCGUGCCACUUGAGAAGCAAGAGGAAGGGAAGAGGAGGGAAUGUUGCAAGACCUGGCUUUGUAUCAACACAGGCAUGCAAAGGCUUUGUAGAGGACAGGAAGUGCCUGGAACAAAUUAAAACCAAGUAAUUUGCAUGCGCGUUGGAGCAGUCUGGCAAAAGCAGUGGUGCUUUCUGGAAGCAGCGGGAGCAGAAGUGAAAGGAAAUUCCUGCAGCUAGUCGUCAUGUUGUGGUGCUGAGGGGCUGCGAGAGGGGCUGCCAGGAGCAAUCCAGCGUUCAUACAGAUUGCUUCAGCGUAGAAAUACAUGGCCAGGGGGUGAUGGCCUGAGGAACACCCAUGGAAUGCCAGAGAAUGGGGUGAGAUGAAUGUGAAUGGAAGACUGGUGGUUGUGUUGGUGCAAGAAAUAAGGGGCGUAAAAACAAAACAAGCAACACCCAGCAAAACCAGAAUGUCAUUAUUGAAUGCCUUGGAUCACUUCACCUGCAUCUGAGAAAGAAAUCACACCUUCAGAGAGAUUCCUUCAGAAACAGCAGUAGUGGAUGUUCCAGGUCUCCGAAAGUAAACAGGACUACAGCUCUCUCUCGGCAGUGCUAGGGAUGCUUUUGGCCCCAUUCCACUUACCAUGCUUCUUUCCCAUGGCUCAGCUGCUGUGUGACCUCAGGGGGAGCUUGUCAUCAGCACCUGCUGAUGGAUAUAUGAGGAUGGAGAUGGUGGACACUGGACCACUGUGUGCAGUGUGGCAGCAGAGAUGUGCACAGGAGACAGAAAACAUAUUUGUUUCCCAUGUGUUGGAAGCACAUCUCUGACUUAUUUAUUCCUCCCCCCAAAAAGCUGUGUGUGUGCACAGCUAGAUGUGUGUCCUAAUGGAUGAUGCUCAACAUAGUGAUGCAGCUGCUAUCAAAUGAGUGUGAAAUGAUGCUGGGGAGA